rnacentral:lncRNA from 1 species
UUGAGGAAGCAGAGUACAUUAGGAAGGACAAACAGAAGAGAUCCAGCAUAUAACACCAUGGGAAGAGAAAGAGGCAUGGGUAAAUGGCAAUACCCAAAUCAAACGGAGAUUCCCAGAGCCAUCCUGAAGCACAAAGUUACUUGUGUACUGCACUAAUUUGAUUGGCAUGUAAUAAAUUCAGCUACACUCAGUCAAACCUCUUCUAUGACAAUGCU